AUGAUGAACCUCACCUUUUGUAAAUGCGUACACUCUAAGAAUAAUAGGAAAUCAGCAGGGCAGGAAGCUGUCAUCAGUGUAAUAAUGCCAUGGUCUGAAGCAGGUUGUCAAAGCUGGCAGAAAUUUGCCUACUUUGUUCUUAAAGCUCUCCAGAACAUUAGGAACAUUUUCUAUUUUAUUUUCAGUAUGCAAAGGUACAAUCAUUCAUAUACUCUUAAGUCCACCUACCUGCUUGCCUCUUGUGUUCCAGAGCAGAACUUGAAUCAUGUUGUCUGCUUUACAUCCGUGCAUUACUGUUACCACAAGAUCAGAAGAGAUGCAGAAGCCAUCAGAUCAGGCCAAGGAAUUUGUCAAUCUCUUCUCACCCUGCUUCCUGAAGUUCACUUUGAAAAAGUAUUUCUUCACCAUUCACUUCUACUUGCAAGAGGAUGGAGGAGAAAGUAUAGUGAAUUUCAAGGAAGCGCAUACAAUUGCAGGUAAAGUGUUGCCUUAGGUAUCUGAGAAGAGUGGUAGAAGAGAACAGAAAAGUAGUUACGUGAUUUGUUGCACAGUGAGUUGUGAAAGUGACUUACAGUGACAAAAUCUAUUACAAUCUAUUAAAAUAUCCAAGCUUUUUGGACACAUCAUGAGCAUUGAGGUGAUAGCUAUUUCAUGCCUGCAGAACUUUAAUACCUCCAUAACUUGAUGGCACUUGUAAGCAAUAAUCUGAAUUGCCUAUCGGAUGAUCCAUUUACUACUAUUUACAAAAGUGUGAAUGAAUAACUUAGAAUGUCAUCAUUUUUGUAUGGAAGUAAAGUGAGUGUGGCAACUUCUAUAAUGAAGGGAAGUACAAGCAGUAUUUUAAACUGUUCUCUUCACCUCGUUGUGCAUAAGGAGUUGGUUUUCAUGUAGCAAUAUGAUUAGCUCCCUCAUUUCAGAAACAAAGUAUAAAGAAACAAAAGGCCCAAAUCUGCAUUCUUUCAGGCUGUGGCUUUAGAGGAAAUCUAGCUUAGCAGAAUGUCAUGAAUAGGCCACGGUUAUUCUUACCAAUGCUGACAGUUUCUUGGAAACCUUAGGCACUUCAAAGCAUUUUUGCAACUGCACCAAUAAACAUUUUAAAUGUCUCUGAAAUUGAUUUUUC
rnacentral:lncRNA from 1 species